rnacentral:lncRNA from 1 species
CAAUAAAUUGAUCAGGUUAGUAAAUAAAACUAAUUAAAUAAUUAUUUUUUAAUUACUUAUCUUAGAUACCAAUAGGAUAAUUGGUCCAAAUAGAUUAGCUUAAGUAAAUUAGGCUCAAGCCAUUGAGCCAAAUUAGGUCCUUAGGUUAAUCGAUUCUACAUAAAGAAUUUAAUCGAUUUGAUUAACAAUAAUUGUAUGAUCUUAAACUUAAUUAAUCUAAUCUUAAUCAAUACUUAACUCGAUUUGAUCAAUUACUUAAUUGAAUUAGACCCAU